ACUCCCCAUACCCACGUGACCCCCUUUCCCUCAUAUUUCUUGUCCACAAAGACAAAAAGGGAUAAACAUUAGAAAGGAGGCCCACAGAUAUAAGGCCCAUGGGUUCCAUCUCCAUUAUAGAUACACAGAGAAGGCACCAUCACGGAAAAGGGAAAACUCCCUCAUGCACCAUUAACACCAUAUAAAACCUCUGUUUUCCCUUUUCUUCUUGACAUAAAAACGCAUACACUUCUGCGCACACACAGAGACAUACUGAGGUUCGCUCACACACCCAUCAUUGAUUAGUGAUCGAUAAAGGAGAAAACUGAAAUUUUUAGGGGGGGGUGGAUGGUUCUUGCCUGAGAUCGGACGGGAAAAUCGGAGCGCCGGCGACACAGUAGCCACGACUAGCAACUCCAUUCCCGAUUAGAUCUUUUCCAGCACCGACCAAACCCAUCCCCUGCUCCGUCGAAGUUUGGUGGACUGAAAACCAGUUCCGUCUAUUUAUUCCCAACCAAAAUCGGUGUUCUUUGAUCGGGUUCCAUCAAGGUUCCUCGGGAACUGAAUACGGGUUACCAUGCUUUUAUAAUUCCUAUUGCAGGUUGUUCAUUUGUUUCCACGGAUUUGUGUUCAAUCGAAUUUGGAGAUCUUCGUCAUUGAGUUUCGCCGUUAUUGAGGUUCGGUUCGAGGUUCGAGGUGCGGAUUUCAUCUUGUUUAAGUGGAUAUCACUCGAAUAAAAGCAAAAUUUGAGGAUGGACCCAACCACGAGGUCUAGAGUUUGGAUGGUUUCCAAGGUCACUAAAAAGUUAGUCAAGUGGUGGGAUACGUUCAACUACGCUGAGCAGCACGAGCUAAAGAUAGUGUUGGGUAACCUUACAGCCCUUCUGCAUUUUGCGCCCCGUCCAGAUUUGAUAGAGGCGGCGUCGACUUUUUAGGAUCCCAGUAGUUUGGUGUUUAGGUUUGGAAAAUGUGAAAUGAUGCCUACUCUGGCAGAAAUAUUUGGUCUGUGUCAGUUGUCUUAUACCCGUCUAUAGAUGAUCCGAGCCCGCAAUCAUAUUAGCUCGAGUUUUCUUCAGCGUUGUGGUUUAAAGAGUAAGAAUAUGUAUUUGGGAUACCUUAAUCAAUCAUGGAUUUCCCUAGAC